AGAGUUUGAUCCUGGCUCAGAUUGAACGCUGGCGGAAUGCUUUACACAUGCAAGUCGAACGGCAGCAUGGAGAGCUUGCUCUCUGAUGGCGAGUGGCGAACGGGUGAGUAAUAUAUCGGAACGUGCUAGUAGUGGGGAACAACCAGCCGAAAGGUUGGCUAAUACCGCAUACGACUACGGGUGAAAGCAGGGGAUCUUCGGACCUUGCGCUAUUAGAGCGGCCGAUAUCUGAUUAGGUAGUUGGUGGGGUAAAGGCCUACCAAGCCGACGAUCAGUAGCUGGUCUGAGAGGACGAUCAGCCACACUGGAACUGAGACACGGUCCAGACUCCUACGGGAGGCAGCAGUGGGGAAUUUUGGACAAUGGGGGAAACCCUGAUCCAGCCAUUCCGCGUGAGUGAAGAAGGCCUUCGGGUUGUAAAGCUCUUUCGCAAGGGAAGAAAUUUUAUUGUCGAAUAAACAGUAAAGAUGACGGUACCUUGAGAAGAAGCACCGGCUAACUACGUGCCAGCAGCCGCGGUAAUACGUAGGGUGCGAGCGUUAAUCGGAAUUACUGGGCGUAAAGCGUGCGCAGGCGGUCUUAUAAGUCAGAUGUGAAAUCCCCGAGCUCAACUUGGGAACUGCGUUUGAAACUGUAAGACUAGAGUGUGUCAGAGGGAGGUAGAAUUCCACGUGUAGCAGUGAAAUGCGUAGAGAUGUGGAGGAAUACCAAUGGCGAAGGCAGCCUCCUGGGAUAACACUGACGCUCAUGCACGAAAGCGUGGGGAGCAAACAGGAUUAGAUACCCUGGUAGUCCACGCCCUAAACGAUGUCUACUAGUUGUUGGUGGAGUAAAAUCCAUGAGUAACGCAGCUAACGCGUGAAGUAGACCGCCUGGGGAGUACGGUCGCAAGAUUAAAACUCAAAGGAAUUGACGG
rnacentral:rRNA from 1 species